GUCUCGCGAGAUCUCUGGCAACGGCCGCCCGUGCUGCCCUGAGGGGGAACAGUGAGAAGGAGCCUCCGAACCUGCCCUGUGCCCUCCGUGUCCCCUCACAGUCCCCCUACCCCUCGUGACCACACCAGGGAGGUGUCUCCCAGCGCCCUCAGUGAGGCUCAGGCCCCCCUCACACCCUUCGGUGCGCAGGUAGCUCUGCCCGCCUUGCAGGUGUAGGAGUUCCUUUAAGGCAGCACAAGGACAGCGGGAAAGGCAGAAAGGCAGUGAAAGCCCUCAAAAACCGCUUAGUGAGGCCGGGAUUUCACAAAGGCCCCAGGAUGUAAUCGGGAGGGAAGAUAAUUCUAGGAAGAGUUUCACAGCUCAUGAACACCCAGUGCCUGUAAACCUGUGGGGUUUUUGCAUCAGAGGGGGCAAAGUGACCGCGAGUGAGAAGGUGAGGGCCAGGGAGGUGCUGCAGGACUCACCUCCUCCCUGGCAAUGGUCAUGUUGUCCUGCACGUUCCCAAAGACCGUGGGCUGGAUGAAGUAGCCCCUGUCGGCAGCGGCGUUGCCACCACACAGCAGUUUGGCUCCCUCACGCUUCCCAGAGCUGAUGUAACCCAGGAUCUUCUUGAACUGCUCUUCAUCCACCUGUGAGCCAUGAGGACACACAUCAGCUCCACCUCCACUGGGGGGAAAGUAGAUUCUGCUCCCACCUGCUGUGCUCCAGCAAUUCCCAAUCACAACAGAGUGCCCAGCCAGCUUCAAAGGGAGCAUUUUUAAAUGCCAGCGUCAAGUGGAGGUUGUGGAAUCAUCAGAAUGGUUAAUUAACCUUUCCCCCUGCACAAGCAAGGAGAUCAUGGGACAGUUCAAAGGAGGUUAAUCAAGAGACUGAAGGAUAAUUCCAUUCUAAUCUAGUGACACACUAUGGCUCAGGAUUGGGACUAUUCCAUGAGGUAACAGCUGAGGGCAUUUCCUGCUCUUACCUGAGGCCCCUGCUCAGUUUUAAAGUCGAAGGGGUUUCCGACCACCCUGGCCUUGGCCUUCUCAACACUCCUCUCCACAAACUCAUUGUAAAUGUCCUCCUGGACGUACGUGCGGGACCCGGCACAGCAGCACUGCCCUUGGUUGAAGAACAGGGCGAAGUGGGCUUGAUCCACUGCCCAGUCCACUAAGAGUGGGGAGAGGAGAGAAAACAAAUCAGCAAACAAACCCAACCAAAGUCAGAAGAUGACUUCUUUAGAACAAUUAUCACAGAGACUGAUGGGGGUACAACGUCCUGUCAGUUGGCAGCGUUUUCCAUGCUUUGGUGUGGCAGAAGUUACAUACAUAUUUCCUUCAUAUGAGGGUCUAUUAAGGCACCCCAUACUAGACAAAAAUACCUAAUCUGAGGCAGAUUACAGCCCUAAUUUGAAUUUGUCAGGUAUUAAGGACAAAUUUUUUUAGAUCCAGAAGAAUUUCCUCCCUCACUGCCAUAUAAAAGCACAUUUCUUGGUUCAUCAGGACCAAAAAUGAGACAGUAUGCAAGGGAGGAGGGAACCAGGGCUUCUUAAGUGUAGGGAAGAGUGGUGUGCUCCAAGAGAAACAGAAAUUAAACCAAAAAUGGAGCAAAGAUCAGGGGAAGAUACUGAAACAACAGGUUGUUGACAACUGAACUUCACAGCACUGGGAAAAAAAAUUGGGACUGGAGCAGUGCUGAUACUCUGGGUGAGACCAGCCCAGGGGAGUCAGGGCUGGACAGCAGAGGUUUCCUUUCCUUUCCCCUCCAGCUCUGCCUGCAGAAAGUCAAGGUAAAAGGCACAGAUCAAACUUUACACAGCAGGGACUCACUGUCUGCAUCGGACAUGAUGAUAUUGGGGCUCUUCCCUCCAAGCUCCAGGGUCACCCUCUUCAGGUUACUCUCUGCUGCAGCUUUCUGGAUCAGGUGCCCAACCUGCAGGAGAGCAGAGCAGGGGCUGGAAUUAACUCCUCCAUCAGCAAAGCCUGGCAGGGCACUGGGUUUACACCUCAGUCAGCACUUCAGUAAUAAUCCCCUCAUUGUCAGGGCUGUAAGGCUGCCCAGUUUCACCUCCAGUAAGAAGCAGCUUAAGGGAAACAAUGGGAAAUAUUCUAAAGAACAAAAUAAGAAUAAGAGUCUUAUGUCAUGCAAAAAGAAAUGUCACACCCUGGGAUCAGCUGUGGUUUUUAAAAUGAGAUGUAGAAGGCAAAGCACCUCCAGUAUUUUAUACAGAAAAGGCAAACACCUCCAGUGUUUUAUACAGCAACGGUGUUCCAGCAGCAAGAUAUUCCCUGCAUCCCAAGGGCUGGAAGGUUGAGGUGCUCCCUUACCUCUGUGGAGCCAGUGAAAGCCACUUUAUCAAUGUCCAUGUGGGAGGAGAUGGCAGCCCCUGCCGUGGGCCCAUAGCCAGGGAUGAUGUUCACCACUCCUGGUGGGAAUCCAGCCUGACAAUUCCCAGGAGACAGCAAUGUUAUUCCUCUUACAAAUCAAGGAUUUCACCUCCACCCCUCUGUUAGUGACCCUCAGUCAGCCUCCCACCAGGAACAGAGCAUUUCCACUUCACUUUCACUUUGGGAAAUUAAAAUUGGUUUGGGGUUUUAAUGCUCAGUUUGCAAUGACCAGGACAAUUCUCCCCACCCACAUCCCAAGCAGUUUGGAUCCAUAUAUACACACACAUAUAUAUAUAUGUUCACUUUCUAAUCACCCUGGAGCUCAUUAUUUAACUGAACCUCAAAGAGUCCUUCCCUAAUCUACAUACAGAUUUAUAAGGACAAAAGGGGUUGUUUUUUUUUGCUGAAUCAAUGCUAAGAGACCCAAGACAAUCCAGCCUCUCUGCAGAGCAGCCCCUCCCUGUUCCUGUCACAUCCCAGUGUGGGUGGAUCUCUCCCCACUCCAGCAGGGGAUGGAAGCCUGGCCUUGGCACUCACCUCUUUGAUCAGACUGGCCACGUAGAGGCCACUCAGGGGGGUUUGCUCUGCCACCUUCAUCACCACCACGUUCCCAGUGGCCAGGGCAGGCCCCAGUUUCCAGGCUUGCAUCAACAGUGGGAAGUUCCACUGAAAAACAAGGAGGGAUUUGCUGGUCUGAACUGGAAAGUUUCUGAUUAUUCAGCAGCAGAUACAAAGUAAAUGUUACUCAGAGCCCAUGAAAUCAACUCCCAGAGCCAAGGAAGAGCCCUCCCAGCUGGUGCAAGCAGAGCUUUGUUUACCACAGAGAGGAAGCAGUGGUGCAGCAACAGAUAGUAACUUUGUAACACUGAAUUCUUGAAAUGCUGCAGGAACUGCUGUUACAUUUUACUUACUGGGAUUAUCUGUCCACAAACUCCCACUGGCUCAUGUCUGGUGUAGCAGAAGAAGUCUCCGUCUAAUGGGAUGGUUUUCCCAUGGAAUUUAUCUGACCAGCCUGCACAGUAUCUGGAGACAAUAAUGUUUUGGUCACUGAAUUUAAAACAACCAGUCAUUACAGAAUAACAAGUAUCCUGUCAACAGAAAACAAGAGCAAUUUCCUCCAGCUAUUUGCUUCCUUCCCAUUUUCAGUCACUUCCUAAAACACACCCCGAUGCAAAUAUUUCCCAAAAAGGGGAUGUUAAGGGUGGCCAGUAAACGCAAAUAUUUGUGUCUUCCACUUUUGCCAGCACUUUGCACAACAUAAAUUCUGCCAUUCCUGUGCUGUUAACGGAUCACGACCAUUAGUGUGAGACCUGUGUAUAACAUGAGACAAUGUAUAGUUAACAAACCUUUGGAAAGCCACAGGAAUUACGGCAAAAGGUAAACCCAAGGUGUCAGACACUCUGCUAUGGGCCAGAUGAAACCACCAGUCAGCUCCAGACCCCACAGCCCCUGAACGGGAGGGACCUGGUCCUACCCCUGCAGAGGUUUGUUUGCCACGGGCCAGCUGUGGCUGUCACCUCAUACCCACCUGAGACACUUGACCACCAUGUCCAGAUCCACCAGGUAGGAGAUGGCGUAGGGUUUGCCGUUGUCCAGAGUCUCCAGAGCCUGCGAAAGACAACAGCGGCUUCCCAAAAGUACCUCUCCACCCUUUGCAGCCCUGUCCCAGCCUGAGCUGUGGGUGAAGCCCCUGGGACACCCGAUGGACACCAACUCUCGUGGGCAGAGCUGGGUCACGGAGCACAACACUCACCGCCAGGUAGGCCCGGUCCCGCUCAAUCAGGUCGGCGAGGCGGUGCAGCAGCUUCCCCCGCUGGGAAGCAUCCAUCCUCCUCCAGGGAGAGCCCAGCUGGAACGCUGCCUUGGCUGCCUUCACCGCCUUGUCCACAUCUGCCUGCAGAGGAGGCCAGGAAGAGGGUGAGAAAGGAAUAACCAGCCCACACUCUCUCUCUCUCAAAAUCCACUCUCCAGAAGAAAACAACUCCUAGCCAGAGUGGCUGCUUGUGCCAGGCUUUCUGGGGACAAGAACCUGCAGCUUUGGCAGCUGCCUCACUGCAAGACACCAUCAGCACAUGGGCCACAGCCCCUGGGUUUGCCCUGGGACCACCAGCCCGGGCAGCACUGCAGCAGCACAGCCUCGCACAAACACUGCACUGGAGCCCACACAGCUUUCCCAGCCAGUCUGUAUCCAUGGGGAAGAGGGAACAGGAUUGGUAGUGCAGCAGAGGGUGCAACAGCUGUGCAGCCACCACCUCCACCCUCACUCACACUGUUAGUUCAACUACAGGGAGUGCAAACAUCAUCAAGUUAUUUCUGCAGUGUCACCUGCUGAGUUAAUAUUUGCAUCGUAGAACCAGGCAUGGAAAAAGCUCUGGAAGUGUGCUUUUGACACUCUUCAGGAUUCAGUCUAGAGGAGUUUUUCCUUGAUCGGAGAUCUCCAUCAUUUUGUCCUGUCAGGCACUAAUUGGUUUCUGGUUGGUUCUCUGUCCUGGCUUGCUGGAAUGGUCUCGCCAGGACAAGCCAGGCUGCCACGGAGAACAAACAACAAAGGGUUUCCCUCACUCACCCCUCCCUUGGGGAACUCAAACAAGUUUCCAGACUGUAGGAAGAACCCAAAAUUGCUGGGAAACACCAUCUUAGCUCUACCACAAACUCUUAGCAGGGCCUUGCGUAAGGCAGGGGAUGAUUGUGUGACUAUUCCCCACCAGUUCUUUUUUCAAUUUUUUAAUUUCCUAGGGCUGGGAUUGGUCUCCCACUGCAGCAGAAAGGGGCUGUGAGGGGAAUCCUGACCUUCUAUGUCCUCUCUCACUGUGACUCUGUGUCACACUGCCAGCACAGCACCCACAGGACCACAGAGGUGUCUGCCUUCAUCCCUGCCCAUCCCAGCAACCUCUGCCCAGGACUGCUCCCAAACCUCCCAACUCUGGCUCUGCUGCACACCACAUCUGUUCCUCUCUGCCCUUCCCAGUCCCGGCUUGGUGCUGGAAAGGGCAAAUCCAGGUUCUGUUGAGAGCAGCAGUCAAGGAAGAACACAAGCAGCACUUGAUGAGGUAUUUGCAUACAGAGCCCUUGCAGAGCUGCCCAGGUGAGAGGGGAGGUGGUGCCUUCCUCUGCAACCCCCCUGGACCUGCUCACACAGAAAACAAACCCGUCUCACCCAAACCACACUCACCUUAUCACCCUCAGCCACCUGGCAGAUGACUUCCCCCGUGGCUGGGUUGAUGGUGGGGAAGGUUUUCUUGCUGACAGCAUCGUGCCAUUCGUUAUUUAUGAAAAUCUGCAAAGGAAAAGCCAAGCAGAGCUAAGGCUUCGAGUCAGAGCCCAGUGAAAUCUGGGGGAGCUUUGUUUGAUGGCAGCUGAGGAGGCUUUAAUUAAAAGGGCUUAACUUGACUUGUGUGGGGUCCAAACCUGCACCAAUAUGAAGGAGAUAUUUUAGCCUAAAAGCACACAACAGAAGACACAGCCUCGAGCUAAUCAAAGAAUUCACAGCUCAGCAAACAGCAUGAGAAUUGGAAGCAGUUCCCAUCUUGGGAAAACCUUGCAACACCUGGAAGCCUGGCUGGAGGUGUGCAGGGAUACUGGGAAACUCAGGAGACUGAGCAGUGGGAAAAUGCUUUAGACACAGACAUACAGUUAUUCGAUUUUGUACAGAGCACUAGAGUUUUUGCAGCAUUUCUUACAGUCUUAAGGGUCUUUUCCAACUUAAAUGAUUCUAUUAUUUCCCAGAUUAACUGAUUUUAGGCUCCCACGCACUGUUCUGAAACAGAACCAGGUGCCAACAACAGCUUUUCACCAAUUCUUUCUUUCUUUCUUUCAAAGGGUGAAUUUGUUUUCCCAGGUCCAAAACAGGAGCGCGAGUGCAAAGAUCGUGGUGCUCGCCCAGAACUCGCCGAGCAUUCGGCCAACCACCGCCAGCCUGGCCACAGCCACCGGGGAGGAGUGGAAUUCCUUGGGAGAGGAAUGCUGCCUUCCCCAGCACCCCGCACAGGUGAUCCCACAGCGUUUGCUCUGGAACAAGGGUCUGAUCUCUGCAGACAACCAGCACCCAGCCAGGCACCUUCCCCUCCUCAUUCCCAUUCCCAGAGUUUCCUCCUUUUCCCGAUGCUGAGCCCACCGGGGGAUGGGGACAGAGCCCGAUGGUGGCGGGACCCACACUCUGAGCCCCACAGGGCACCCAGGGAGCUUUUCCAGUGGGAUUUUCCCGCAGCACAAGGUUUCGGGCCCAAAUCUCCGGGGGCUCCAGCGCUCCCAGCGUUCCACCGGGAUGUCCCAGCCCCGCACGCGGACAGGGCAGCCCCGGACCCGGCGGCCCAGCCCGGCUGAGCCGGGACCAGCGCGGCCCCAGCACGGCCCUACCUUGUUGAAGGCGAUGUCGGGGCGCGGGUUGGGCGCCGGGAUGGGGGAGGCGGCGGCGGCCGAGAAGGGCGCCCGGAGCUGGGCCGGGCAGAGCCGGGAGCUGCGCACCAGCGCCCGCAACAUGCUGAGCUGAGCCGAGCUGAGCUGGGCUGGGCCGGGCCGGGCCCCGCUCCUCGGGGCGGCCCCGCUCCGCCCCGCCCCGCCCACCUCGGCACGGCUCGGCCCACGGGGCUGGGUCCCGCACGGCUCGGCUCGGUGCUGCCUAGAACUGACUUGGCGUGACUUGGUUCGGAUGGAAUCGUCUCGAUCCAGUUCGGUGCGGGCAGCGCAGUUUGGCUCAGCUCGGCUCAGCACGGUCCCGUUUGGAUCAGCUUAGCGUGGCUCAGCAGGACUCAGCUGGGCUCAGCUGGGCUCAGCACCGUUCGGGUCAGUUCAGCCCAGCUCAGUUCAGUUCAAAUGAGGCUUGGUUUGGUGCACCGGGGAUGCCUCAUCAGCGUCCAGCAGCCACACUGUCCCUGCCACUAUCCCUGCCCAGGGAACUUAGUGCAGGAAACAAUUAGGAAAAAUGCAGAGAAAAAACCCAAAAGCAUCUCCCUUGUGCUGGUUACUUUUGUGGGAAAGUGCUGCGAUGAGGGAAAAGCUGGGGACCUGGCCCGUGGAUGUGCCACCACUACCACGCACAAGGGAAUCCAAAAGAGAAGCUCCUGUGUGUCUGGCAGUGGGACAAAACCACUCAAGUGCUUUCACAACAGGGACAUUACUCAGUGCAUACAAAGGAGAGGCUUUGUAAAAUCACUCCCAACAGUGGCUCAAGGCCUUUUUUUCUUGUUUGCUUAAGAUGCCUUGUGCAACUUCAGGCUCCCAAGUGCAGGGAACGGGGGUGUGCUCACGUUAUCAUCACCAUCACUAAGGAAGCCACAGACCAAAAACAUCAAGAGUUUUUAACCUCUCAAAGAAACCUGUGGUAUUACCCUGUGUCUGACUGCACUUUUUUGGCUUCUUCAGUGAGGGGUCUCUGAAAGGUCACAGGGAUGGCUCUGGUUUAUAAAAGGUGCCACAAAAAUUGCGGGAUAUGUCAGUUCAGAUAUAGUUUCCCCCGGUGUCCUGGAAGACCUAGGGUGCUGAAAGUCUUGCUGGAGGUUCCUGCAUCUGUGGUUCUCCAGGCAUUUCCCUCCCUGCUGUGCAGGGAGGAACCACAGAGCCCAGAGACGCAAAAUGCCUGCCCAAGGUUAUCCAGCAGGACUCAGAUUAGGCUGUGUGUAUCCUGGAUCAGCUGAAAAGAAAUCCUCUUGGGCAGGAUCUCCUCUCUCAUCCCUGUCCCCCUGUAUCCCCUGAAGGGUGAUCGAUUCCCUUCACCACUCCAGACAGCAGGUCGUGGACAGCCCUUUAGGAGAUGGCACUUGCAAGGACGACUUGUUCCAACACAGUCUCCAUGCUGUUACAGACCUGUACUGUUAAACCACUGUGGGAGAUGCCAGACAGACCUGUUUUACCUGCAGAGAUGUGCCUGUGUCUCCCAGAGGGAGCAGGUCAGGCUGUGUAUCCACAGGGCACGUCACAGAGCUGAGCUCCAGCUCAGGGUAAGCCCCCAUGUGUGUCCUGCUGAUCCCGUGGUGGAAAAUGGAUGACAUUGAGCGCUAGCCCUGUGUUAAUGCUCCUCUUGAGCCCGUUUUCUUCCCUGGGGCUUAGCAGACAGACCCAGCAGCACUAACCCACCUCGAUGGCAGACCCAGCUCUGAGCCCUCCAGGGGCUGCGAUUGAGCCUGAAAGAUGAGACGGUGGGAGGUGCAGAAGCCAAGUGCCUGCUCAGAAACCAUCCCAAGUGCCUGAGCUGGGCAGAUCCAGGCUCAGAUACAGGCUCCCUCCCUCUUGCACAGCAGAGCCAAGUGCCUGAGGUUGAGGUGGAAUUUCACCCCAGAGCCUGGGAGAGUCCAAAGCUCAGGUUACCAGCUUCCCUAAACUCCACGACCCUGGUGUUGGGCAGCCAGCAUGGCCACCCCAGGGCUCCUGGAAGUGCCCCUUGUGUCCCUGAGAGCAGGGAUGUGGUCCCCACCCAUGGCAGGUGGAUGUGGCCUUGUGAAAGUGGGCUGUGAGGCUGUGCCCAUGCUGGAGGAGCUGGAGAAUCCAAAGAACUGUGCCCAUCGCUUUAAUAUUGAACUAAUACCACACAUAAAGAACCUGGAAUUACCAUGAUUGUUCCCACAGUUCUCCCCUUGCUCUGACCUCCCUGAAGUACUGAAAUCACCCAUUGAUCUAGACUGCAUCUUCCAUGAUCCCUGAAGAAACCCAGAGAGACCCACUGCAGUCACGGGACAAUGGAGUCCUCCAGUUCCAGGGGCCAGGCACUGUCUCAGCUCCAAAGUCUCCCCUGAAUCCAGAGUCCUUGAGGUCAUUCCUGACCAACUCUCCCUGCUGCGGGACUGACGCUCUGGAGCCUCAUGGUCCAAGGAUGAUUUUGCCCCAUAUUGAGCUGGGUAAUAAAGGCACUGAGCACAGAUAACAACAAACAGCACUGGAAUUGGGAAGCUCACAGGCUGCCCUUAGCACAAGGGCCUCUCCUGUGCCAGAGUGGAUGGUUUAGUUUUCCAUCCGAGGCUCCAAAGGACUGGGACCCUCACGGGACCCUCAGCCAGAUGCGGAGCUCAGGUCCAAGGGAAGCACCAGGCUGGGAUCUGCACUGUGGAGAUGUUCUGCUCCAGAGACCUGUGGGAGAGUGAGAUCAGAGCCCAGAUGGGCACAGAAAGGGCUGGAGGACCAGGGCAGGAUGGCAGGGAGUGCCCUGGGAACACAGUGCUGGGGAAACAUCCUCCUGGGAGCCCCAUAGGACAAAUCACCCCUCAUGCUCACAGGCCCCAUGCUGCAGUGGGGUGGAGGAGGCCCUAGGAGGGAGGGGAGGUCCCUGUGUUGUUUUUUUUGAGUCAAGGAAGGCUCAAGCGUUAGGUGUCUGCUCACCUGGCUGCCCUGAUCCACAGCCUGUACAGCCACCAGAGCCUCUGCUUUGGUCCUGGCACGCUCUGCCUGGGGGAAGAGUAUUAUUAUUAUUAUUAUUAUUAUUAAGACACAUUAGGUGGUCUGGUGACCCUGAUGUCCCUCUGAUAGCCAGUCUGAGGGAGAAACUGAACUCCUCUGGACAGGAUCUCCCCGGAGAACUGUGGGGACAGGCAACCUUUG